rnacentral:lncRNA from 1 species
CUGCUCCCCUGCUCCCCUGCAGGGCUGGGACUGGGCACUCUCUCUUUUUCCUUGUCACUGAAUUUUAUAGGCUACUCUUUCCACUUCUCUGCCAAGACAGGGCUAUCCCCCAUCCAUUUUAAAUGCUUCAAAAUGAAGACUUCUUCCUCAACUAGAACUUUUGAACUGUGCCUUUGAUUUCCUGUUCUUCUCUUUUUUAAUGAAGUCAAGUGGUAGGGCAAUAAUCUCAAGGAAUUUUCCAGCCCCUGGAGAUCCCUGCAAGAAGGGUCCAUCAGGGAGGGGGUGAAUUCAUUGCUAUUUUGGGCUUCGGAAGUGGGAGUAGUGAGUUGAGUUGCCUCCCGUCGCCUGCACCACGGGGCGCGUGUAAAAUCUCUGCAAACAGUCCCAGUGUGCUUAUAAAACCUCAGGUCACUGACAAUUGCAGUGCUCAUUUGCUGUGGCCAAUUUAGCACUAAUAAGCUGAAACUGGGCUUCAGGGAUUUGUUGCCAUGGCAUGUAAACUCCCUUUAGAAACACAUUUCCCAACAAGAGAUUGCAGCCUAAUAGAUUUUUCCCCCUUCUCCAUUUUUGUAAACUGACUUGUAGCUCAUUUUGGAAGCAUUUCCCCAUUAGCUGACUCUCUGCUGCCAUCUUUGUCAGUGCUG